rnacentral:rRNA from 1 species
GACGAACGCUGGCGGCGUGCUUAACACAUGCAAGUCGAACGGUAAAGCGCCUUCCUUUUUGGUGGGUGUGGAUGAGUGGCGAACUGGUGAGUAACACGUGCGUAACCUGCCCCCUUCUUCUGGAUAACCGCAUGAAAGUGUGGCUAAUACAGGAUCUUCUGGUUCUGUCGCAUGGUGGGUCUGGGAAAGCUGUUGUUUCGGUGGGGGAUGGGCUCGCGGCGUAUCAGCUUGUUGGUGGGGUGAUGGCCUACGAAGGCGGUGGGGGGUAGACGGCUUGGGAGGGUGGACGGUCUGACAGGGUCUGAGACACGGCUCGGACUGCGACGCGAGGCAGCAGUGGGGAAGAGUGAACAGUGGGCGCAAGUGUGAUGCAGGGAGGCCGCGGGUGGGAUGGAGGCGUGCGGGGGGUGAAGCUCUUUCGCCAGUGAAGCAGGCCUGCCUGGUUUGUGGGUGGGUUGACGGUAGCUGGAAAAGAAGCGCCGGCUAACUACGUG